rnacentral:rRNA from 1 species
UGGGGAAUAUUGGACAAUGGGCGCAAGCCUGAUCCAGCCAUGCCGCGUGAGUGACGAAGGUCUUCGGAUUGUAAAACUCUUUUGGCGGGGACGAUAAUGACGGUACCCGCAGAAUAAGCCCCGGCUAACUUCGUGCCAGCAGCCGCGGUAAUACGAAGGGGGCUAGCGUUGUUCGGAAUCACUGGGCGUAAAGCGCACGUAGGCGGAUGUGCCAGUCAGGGGUGAAAUCCCGGAGCUCAACUCCGGAACUGCCUCUGAUACAGCACGUCUUGAGUUCGAGAGAGGUGGGUGGAAUUCCUAGUGUAGAGGUGAAAUUCGUAGAUAUUAGGAAGAACACCGGUGGCGAAGGCGGCCCACUGGCUCGAUACUGACGCUGAGGUGCGAAAGCGUGGGGAGCAAACAGGAUUAGAUACCCCUGUAGUCCCUGAGCGGGCUGGCAAGGCGCAU